ncrna:unclassified sequences RT-2 RNA
UUUGGGCGAAAUCAGUACCUUUUGCAGAGGGAGGACUUGUACCCUGCCUAUGGGCUAAAACUUCCGGGCACAUCGUUUGAAAUGCGCCCACCCCGAAAGGGGCACUCCGAUGUAAUCAGCCGGACGCUUCUUGCAUGGUGAGUGAUGUAUGGUAACUCAUUUCAUGGCUGGUAUUACUACGCAGUUAGAACCCAUACCCAACAAUCAUACUGUACGGAGGGAAAUCUUUUUCAUGACAAGUG